AGUAGAUUAGUUAUUAGCGCACAUGUUCUCGUUACAGGGUACACUGCUUCCUAUAUUAGAGAUGAAAUUUCAGUUUUGGGCCUUCACUGUGUGUGACUGGUUUCUGUUAUGUGUUAGUUUAAACAAGCCCGCGCCGCAAACUGCUCAAAUGACUAUAUUUUAUGGCGGACAAGUGAUUGCGUUCAAUGAUUUUCCUGCUGAUAAAGCAAAUGAAAUCAUGCAAUUAGCAAGCAACGGGAGCUCACUGAGCCAUGGUACCGCAUAUCCUCCUAUGCAACUGCCGGCCCAGGGUUACAACUCUUUUGCUGCUAGUUUACCCAAAAGUCCAGUUGAAUCAACUCCCCCGGUUUCUCCUGGCCCCCCAAAAAUUCUAACAGAGCCUAGUUGCUCGGUUCCUCCUCGAUCAAAUAGCAUUCCUAACUUUGGCAACAAUCUAAUUCCAGAGUGCGCUCAACCUCCCUCAAGACCUUGUGGUAAAGCCUUCAUUUUUCCAUUUUUGUGUAAAAAGAAAUCUGUUAUUCUAUCUUGGGAACUGUGUUUCUUAUAAUGUUUUGUUGCCCUUGAAUGC
rnacentral:lncRNA from 1 species